GAUGAACGCUAGCGGCAGGCUUAAUACAUGCAAGUCGUGGGGCAGCGGGGGUGUAGCAAUACAUCUGCUGGCGACCGGCAAACGGGUGCGUAACACGUACGCAACCUUCCCGUUACUGUGGCAUAGCCCAGGGAAACUUGGAUUAAUACCACAUAUUAUAUAGAGAGGGCAUCCUUUUUAUAUCAAAGCUUCGGCGGUAACGGAUGGGCGUGCGGUUGAUUAGGUAGUUGGCGGGGUAACGGCCCACCAAGCCUACGAUCAAUAGCUGAUGUGAGAGCAUGAGCAGCCACACGGGCACUGGGACACGGGCCCGACUCCUACGGGAGGCAGCAGUAAGGAAUAUUGGGCAAUGGACGAAAGUCUGACCCAGCCAUGCCGCGUGAAGGAUUAAGGUCCUCUGGAUUGUAAACUUCUUUUCUCUGGGGCGAAAACCAGCUAUUCUUAGCUAUUUGACAGUACCAGAGGAAUAAGCACCAGCUAACUCCGUGCCAGCCGCCGCAGUAACAC
rnacentral:rRNA from 1 species